AUUGAACGCUGGCGGCAGGCCUAACACAUGCAAGUCGAGCGGAUGAAGGGAGCUUGCUCCUGGAUUCAGCGGCGGACGGGUGAGUAAUGCCUAGGAAUCUGCCUGGUAGUGGGGGAUAACGUCCGGAAACGGGCGCUAAUACCGCAUACGUCCUGAGGGAGAAAGUGGGGGAUCUUCGGACCUCACGCUAUCAGAUGAGCCUAGGUCGGAUUAGCUAGUUGGUGGGGUAAAGGCCUACCAAGGCGACGAUCCGUAACUGGUCUGAGAGGAUGAUCAGACACAUGGGAACUGAGACACGGUCCAGACUCCUACGGGAGGCAGCAGUGGGGAAUAUUGGACAAUGGGCGAAAGCCUGAUCCAGCCAUGCCGCGUGUGUGAAGAAGGUCUUCGGAUUGUAAAGCACUUUAAGUUGGGAGGAAGGGAAGUAAGUUAAUACCUUGCUGUUUUGACGUUACCAACAGAAUAAGCACCGGCUAACUUCGUG
rnacentral:rRNA from 1 species